AUAAUUACCUAGGAGGGAAGACAUUCUGACCCUGAGUAAGGUGCCCUACCCAGAGUGAGGCUUAUCUAUUGUACUCUGGGUAUGCCUACCCCUAGUAUUUCCCUGAAAGUGGGAAAACUAUACUAUAUAACUUUGUUAAUGGAGAAGUGAAUUCCCAUUUUCUAC